rnacentral:rRNA from 1 species
CCUACGGGCGACUGCAGUGGGGAAUAUUGCGCAAUGGGCGAAAGCCUGACGCAGCGACGCCGCGUGAGGGAUGAAGGUCUUCGGAUCGUAAACCUCUGUCAGCAGGGAAGAACGGUCACUGUGCUAAUCAGCAGUGAAUUGACGGUACCUGCAAAGGAAGCACCGGCUAACUCCGUGCCAGCAGCCGCGGUAAGACGGAGGGUGCGAGCGUUAAUCGGAAUUACUGGGCGUAAAGCGCUCGUAGGCGGUAUGUCAAGUCAAGGGUGAAAGCCCCGGGCUCAACGCGGGAACUGCCUUUGAAACUGGGAAACUGGAGUGUGUGAGAGGAUAGUGGAAUUCCAGGUGUAGGAGUGAAAUCCGUAGAUAUCUGGAGGAACAUCAGUGGCGAAGGCGACUAUCUGGCACAUAACUGACGCUGAGGAGCGAAAGCGUGGGUAGCAAACAGGAUUAGAUACCCCAGUAGUC